rnacentral:rRNA from 1 species
AGCGGGAAAAGCUCAAAUUUAAAAUCUGGUAGUCUUUGACUGCUCGAGUUGUAAUCUAGAGAAGCGUUAUCCGUUUUGGACCAUGUAUAAGUCUCCUGGAAUGGAGCGUCAUAGAGGGUGAGAAUCCCGUCUUGGACAUGGACUACCAGAGCUUUGUGAUGCGCUCUCAAAGAGUCGAGUUGUUUGGGAAUGCAGCUCUAAAUGGGUGGUAAAUUCCAUCUAAAGCUAAAUAUUGGCAAGAGACCGAUAGCGAACAAGUACCGUGAGGGAAAGAUGAAAAGAACUUUGGAAAGAGAGUUAAACAGUACGUGAAAUUGUUGAAAGGGAAACACUUGAAGUCAGUCACAUUGGCUAGGGAUCAGCUUUGCUUUUUGCUUAGUGUACUUCCUAGUUUAAUGGGUCAGCAUCAAUUUUGACUAGUGGAAAAAGAUUAAGGGAAUGUGGCAUCUUCGGAUGUGUUAUAGCCUUUGGUCGUAUACAUUAGUUGGGAUUGAGGAACUCAGCAUGCCGCAAGGCCAGGUUUUUACCAUGUUCAUGCUUAGGAUGCUGGCAUAAUGGCUUUAAUUGACCCGUCUUGAAACACGGACCAAGGAGUCUAACAUACCUGCAAGUGUUUGGGUGGAAAACCCAUGCGCGUAAUGAAAGUGAAAGUUGGGAUCCCUGUCGUGGGGAGCACCGAUGCCCGGACCAGACCUUUUGUGACGGAUCCGCGGUUGAGCAUGUAUGUUGGGACCCGAAAGAUGGUGAACUAUGCCUGAACAGGGUGAAGCCAGAGGAAACUCUGGUGGAGGCUCGUAGCGAUUCUGACGUGCAAAUCGAUCGUCG